GAUGAACGCUGGCGGCGUGCCUAAUACAUGCAAGUCGAGCGAACAGACGAGGAGCUUGCUCCUCUGACGUUAGCGGCGGACGGGUGAGUAACACGUGGAUAACCUACCUAUAAGACUGGUAUAACUUCGGGAAACCGGAGCUAAUACCGGAUAAUAUAUUGAACCGCAUGGUUCAAUAGUGAAAGACGGUUUUGCUGUUACUUAUAGAUGGAUCCGCGCCGCAUUAGCUAGUUGGUAAGGUAACGGCUUACCAAGGCAACGAUGCGUAGCCGACCUGAGAGGGUGAUCGGCCACACUGGAACUGAGACACGGUCCAGACUCCUACGGGAGGCAGCAGUAGGGAAUCUUCCGCAAUGGGCGAAAGCCUGACGGAGCAACGCCGCGUGAGUGAUGAAGGUCUUCGGAUCGUAAAACUCUGUUAUUAGGGAAGAACAAAUGUGUAAGUAACUAUGCACGUCUUGACGGUACCUAAUCAGAAAGCCACGGCUAACUACGUG
rnacentral:rRNA from 1 species